UCUGCUGUGGAAUUGAAGUUUCUUCUCUAUGUUGGCUAUUGGUAGUGUAUAAACUGAAUUUACUGAUCAUAUGUGAAUUAUUAUAAUUAUUGAACUGAAUCGUAGUUGAAAUUGUAUGAACUGUAUUUCUUAAUGUUUGUGUAUGAAUUUUGUUUCUGAAUAUGUGAAAUAAAGCAAUUAUGAAAUUGAACUGAAUUUAAUUUAUUCAAGGAUGCUGAUAAUAAUUUUUAAGUUUUGUAUGAAUUGUGUUUUCUGAGGAUGUGCCUUUACUAAAUUUUGAAACUGAACUGAUUUUUAAACUUAUAAGGAAUCUUAUAAACUUUU
rnacentral:lncRNA from 1 species